UUGAAAAAAAAAAUAAAAUAAGUAAAUAAAUAAAAUUAGGCAAGUAAAACAAGUAAUGGAAGAAUCACUUUAAAUUUUAAAAACCAUGUUGGAAUUAGUAAAUGUCUUCACAAGAAGACAUGAUUUACUUUUUUACUCCUUUUCUGUGAGUUUAAAUACCACUCUAUUUUCUACCUCAUUAGAUUAUAAAGUUUUGAUGUUUUAUUUUUUAUUGAGUUCCCAUAGCUUUGGACACUGUUAAUGGAUAGUCUGAAGUAUUUGACUGUCUAAUUUAAAGGAUUUGUCCCUCUUGGAAAUAAGACAAUUUCCUUUUUUUUCUUAAAAAAAAUAACAUCACAACACAAACUGAUUUAUAUAUUUACAUUUUAUAAUCAAAAUUAUGAAGAAUCUAGAACAUUAAAUAUUUCAUUUGUACCUAUAUUUUAUAUAUUUUAUAAUAUUUAUUUUAUAAAGUUCAUAAAAGUUCAGAAUCCUAACAGUUACAGAAUGAGUGUCUUUAGAAUUAAUUGACAGAAUCUUCCCCUCAACUUUAUAGACUUUAAUCUAGUCAUGGCUAUUUUGUAUUUACUCUGGUUAAACAAACAAUUUUCAAAGUUCUUUUAUUCGUUUGUGAUCCUAAGUUCUAAGACCAAAUACACUUGACUAAUUAUUUCCACUUAUUGAAACCCCUAGGCUGGAGGAGAGUUCAGACUUAAGGAAGUUCUACAUUGCACUGAGCCUAACUGGUUUAUUGGGACAUACCCUGUGGUGCCUAAAUUUCCAGCACAUAGAUUGGGACUAACUACUCACAGUUUUGCAUUGUUGCCUAUUGCUCACGAAUGUGCUUGUCUUCUGAAAUAGAUGAUAAAGUCCCUGAAUGUAGCUCUUUCAUGUUCUAUAGCAUUUAAUAAAACUAUAAAAGUUGAAAACAAUCUCAUUUAGUAUAAGAUUUCACAAACCAGAGUACAGCGGAUUGAUACAACGUAACGAUCUUUACAUCCUACUAAUAAAAUCAAGUUAACCUUGUGUGGUAUUGGUGUGUGUGAAUAACUACUGAUACCGUGAGAGGAGGCAUGCCGAAGACUUCUAGGUACAGAAAAAUAAGAUUUUGCAUUGUGUUUUUAAAUGAAUCAAUUAGUCAUUACUUUAAUUGUUAGUUGUGCAUUCGCUUACAUGAAAAGAAGAAAUGCUUUCAAAAUAUGUUCCUGACUCAAUAAGAAAAUGUUCAAUUCUUACCUACUGGUUUGGCGUUAGGAACAGCGUGGUCAUCAUUUAUGCGUCAUAAGGUUGGUAAGCAAAAUUAACUUCAAAGAACAAAGUGUUUACGAUGCCUAGGGAACAAACACAAUUCUCCACAACAGAUUGAACAACAUUCUAACUAUGUCUGGAUGACUCAAGUCAGUCAUUGUCGGAAGAUAACUAUUCAAGUAAACUGAGUAUCAUAGGAAACCUCAUAGCUUUUUCACUCAAAAUAGACUGAAACUUAUGAUGACUGUUAAAGAUUAACUAUAGAUAGAACUUAAAUUUUAUGGCAAGAGUAUGCCAUUUUUUUCUAACAUUUUCCUCUUUUUUCCCCUCAAAAAGACUAAUACCUAAUCCAGUGCUUCAUAUUUUCUAAAAUCCUGUGUUAGCAGCUUUUUCAUUAAAGCUUUUAAUUAGGUAGCUUUGCAAUUUAUGGUCCGUGAAUUUAACUACGAUUGUAUUCAUUAUUGAAUCGAGGAUUUUGUGGCCUGUAGUAAUUUGUUUCCACAUAAUAUGUUUUUUCCAUUUUUCAAGAUGUUGUCGCACAUAGCCAGACUCUUUCACCUAUUUUCCAUGAAUAAAGAUGGCAUUUGCUCCUGGCAGCCAUCCUGUGACCAGUAGGAGAAUCAGCCUGAGAAGUUAACUGACACUGUAGCAUCAGAGCAAAGACCUGAUUGCCCUACCUCUAAACUUUCUUUAACAUAAAACAAUUUUAUUAUUAUUUCAGCUUAAGUUUGGGUUUCAGUGACUUAGAGACAAGAGUAAACUAAGACGAUACUCAAAGAAUGGAGACUACAGAAGUAACACAGAGAAGCUAUUCAAAUUACAGUUUUUCUGAAGUCUUUCAUGAUUAUGACUGGAUUUGACCCAAGUUAUCUAGAUAGGAGUUAAGAUAAAAGCAGUAAUCACAGAUCAAAAAGACAAACAAUAAAAACAACUCCAGAUAUAGUUGCAAGCAAGAGUCCUAGGUUGCUCUGGUGGUGGUCCUGUGUUUUAACCUACUGUUGCUGCUGUUAUUUCUAUUGUUAAAACCUUGGGUUUCCUCUACAAUAUAUGAAGUUUAUUAAACUUUAUUGCAUGAAUCAAGUAAUUUGUUGUCCAAUGAAUUCAGAAUGUGGUUUCUUUGCAUCACCAAGAGUUGAAGCAGCCUGUUACUUAAUUUUGUUUAUUUCUACAUGGUUACUUAGGAACAAAGAAAGAAUCAUUUCUCAGGCUUCAUAUAGCACCAACAACCUCUCAGGUGAUUGCCUUAGCUCACCUUUGAAGAUUUUCCUUUCAUCAUCAUUUGACUCAUCCAAUUAAUGGAUAACACCCUUGUGGUAUGACAGUUUUUAAGCUAAGAAUAUGCUUUCUGGUUCUUUUGUAGAUGGCCAGCGGUUGUUGACUAUUAAAAUGUACAACAUUCAUGUUUCUCUUUGUCUCCUAUUCUUUAAUAAAGUAUUUCAAUAACUUUUUUUUUUUAAGGGAGCAAAUAGGUCAGUCUGGAGUCAGGUUGCCUCAGUUUGAAACCUGGUUCUUAGGUACAAGCUCUUGGGCAAGUAACAAUCUCUCUGUGCAUUAAUUUCCUCAGUUGUUAAAUAAGGAAUUCUUAGAAUCUAUCUCAUAGGAUUGCUGGGAGGAUAUCAUGAGCAAAUAUAUGUAAAGCAAUUAGAAUGACACCUCAAACUCCAUAAAUAAUUAGCUAUUCAUCCAUGCAUUCAACAAAUAAUUCACUGAGAACCUAAUACAGACAAAGCACCAUCUCUGGACUUGUGAGAACACAAAGGUAAAAAAGCAGCUUUGUUCUGUUUUCAAGUAGUUAGCCGUUUAGUAUGGAAGAUAGGGCACAAACAAAAAUAACAACAUCAGAUGGCAUUAAAAAAUCACUUAAUAUAUUAUAUAUGAAGAGGAGAGAAGAAAGAGGCAGGCCAAUGCUGGUAUUGUUUUUACCUUAUAUUCAUGUAAUGUAUGUAGUAUCUUGAUUUGGCUUUUUUUUUUCCUGUGUAGAUUCUUUCAUCAAAGCUUCCUUGCUUCAUGUUGCCUGUUUUCCUAUUUAUCCACGUAGCAAAGUUACACAGGGUAUUAUGGUAGCAAGAAAGGAUGCUAAAGAAAAUACCAAAACAUAGAAAACAUAUUAUAGCUUUCUCCCUGAUAACUAAUUAAGUAGAAUUGACCAUACCCUCCUUCAUGACUCAUUGUGCCCUAUAAAUAUUAAAUCUGAAAUAUCAAAGAUCACAUCUUGGUUUUGAAUCCUCAGUAUCUAACAAAAUGUCCCUGGUUUCAGAGACCUGGUCUGUUAGAAUAUCACUUUCUCCUGGUCACAGUGAUUAGUUCAGAAAAAGUAAAAAUCUCUUAAAUAAGACUCAGAAAUUUUCUGCCAGAACAAUUGUUGAAAGAUUCACUCUGUCUACUCAUUUUGCCAAGCUGUUGGAAUAUGAGAUGGAGUUGCCAACAACCAUCUUGCUGCCACCUGGAGAAAGUCUGAGAGGGAAGCAGAGCAGAGGCAAGAGAGCUAAAGACAUAAAGAGAGAUGGAGAACACUGACAACAUUGAAAUUCUAGGCUUGGCUGGGCUGGGCCCACUACUUGGCCUUCCCAAUUAAGGAGCAAAUACACACUCUCUUUGUUUAAAACCAGCUUGGAUAAGAAUGCUGUUUGCUCACAUAUAAGACUGAGAGUAUAUGUUACUAUUAAUAUUCACAGGAUUUUUUUUUGUAAGUAAAUCUUUCUAAAACAUAGUCUCUGAAUAGAUUUCCCACCAUGAUCCUCAACAUUCUCAUUCUCAUUAGAGCUUUAGAGUGUACAAAGAAUUUCUUAUAUCACAUUGGAUCCUAAUUACAAUCCAAUUAUCAAGUAGGGAAACAUUAAUACUUUAUGUGCAAGAACAUUAAGGCUUUGAUCAAUUAAGUUGCCUAGGUUAAUUCAUUUAGUAGAUGAAAACCUUUUCAAAAUCUUAGUUUUCCAUAAUAAAAGUAAAUAUAUAUUGACUUACUCUAGUGCACAAGAUGACGUAAAAGACCAAGAUUUACCUUCUCAUGUUAAAUAACUGGAAAACUGGGAUGUGGUGGGGAAGAUGCAUAGUUGACCCUGAACAACCUGGGGAUUAGUGGUUUCAACUCCCUACCCAGUCAAAAAUUCAUGUAUAACUUUACAAUAAGCCCUCCAAAUCUAUGGUUCAGUAUGCAUCUGCAUAUUUAAUCAUCCAUGGAUUGUGCACUAAUACUAUACUAUUGAUUGAAAAAAAUAUCCAUGUAUAAUGGGACCCCCACAAUUCAAACACAAGUUCAAAGGUCAACUGUGUAUGUGAAUAUGGACACACACACACACACACACACACACGCACAUAUAUACACAUAACCACAGGACUGUAAUUUCAGAGAGAAAGGAAACAAACCAGGGGAACCAUACAGUCUUACCAGCCUAAUGCCUGGAGGCAGUUUCCAGGCUGUGACUCAGGAAGAAAAAUCCAAAAGUGCCUUACAGUCUCUUUAAGUUGAGAAAACAGAGAAAAAAGUUUAGGGAGGCCAAGGCAACUGCAAUUUAGAAAUGGACUACCAGAGAGCAGAGGGUUUCAAGGAAAAACUGAUCAAUUCAUCAAAAGGACAAAAAAAAUUCUAAAUGUGAAUGAAUCUAAUAGCAAAGCUUCAACAUACAUGAAGCAAUAACUAAAAACAAAACAAAAAAACCUUGACAGGAUAAGUAGUAAAUUUAUUGUUAUGGUUGAGAAUUUUACCACUCUUUUCUAAAUAAUUCAUAGAAGUGAACAAAAAUAUAGUAGCGUUAAAGACUUGAAUACCACUAUCAACAUGUGGCUCAUUUAAUACUUAUAGGACACACCUAUAAAACAGGAGAAUACAAAUAUCCUGAGCCACAGAACAAGUUUCAAUAAACUUAAGGGUUCCUAAUAAUACAAAGCAUGUUUUCUGACUAUAGAAAUAAGAGAAAUCAAAACCAAAAAGAUAAUAAGAAAAAUCUCAAAAUAAUAGGAAGUUAAACAAUACACAUGGGUCUAUGAAAAAUCACAAGGAAAAUUAGAAAAUAUUUUGAUUAGAUGAAAAUUAAAAUACAACAUAAAAAAAUUUGUGGGAUGUAGCUAAAGCAGCGCUUAGAGGAAAAUUUACAAUUUUAAAUGUUUAUAGAAAUAAAGAUCUAUAAAAAAUGAUUUGAGCUUGUACCUUAAGAACUAAAAAUGGAAAAGGAAAUUAAGCACUAAAUAACCAGAAGAGAGGGAUGAUAAAAAUAAGAGAAGAAAUCACCGAGAGAACAGAAAAAAAAAGUCAAUAAAGCUAAAAUUUAUGUCCUUGAAGAGAAUAAUAAAAUUGGAAAAGCUCUGGCCAUACUGAUCAGAAGAACAGACAAAAAACACAAAUUACCAAUAUCAGAAAUGAAAGGGAGGACAACAUGACAAAUUCUACUGAUACUUUAAAAGUAAUGAAAAAAUACGAAAAACUUUACACCAAUAAAUUUGAGAACUUUGAUGUAGUGAACAAAUUCCUUUAAACUACAAAUUUCAAAAACUCAUUCAAGAAGAAACAGAUAAUCUGAAUAGCCUGACAUUUGUUAAAGAGGUUGAAUGGAUAGUUUAAAACCUUCUUUCAGGAGUUCCCGUCAUGGCUCAGUGGUUAACAAAUUUGACUAGGAACCAUGAGGCUGCAGGUUCGAUCUCUGGCCUCACUCAAUGGGUUAAGGAUCCGGCAUUGCCUGUUGCCAUAAGCUGUGGUGUAGGUCAAAGAUGCGGCUCAGACCCUGCGUUACUGUGGCUCUGGUGUAGGCCGGUGGCUACAGCUCCGAUUAGACCGCUAGCCUGGGAACCUCCAUAUGCCGUGCAUGCAGCCCUAAAAAGAUAAAAUAAUAAUAAUAAUAAUAAAUAAAACAUAAAACCUUCCCUCCAAAAGCAAAAACAAAAACGAAAUUAAAACAAAACUCCAACAUCAGGUGGCUUAACUGGCAAAUUCUACCAAAAACAGAGUUCCUGCUGUGGCACAACGGGAUCAAAGGCAUCUUAGGACUGCUGGGAUGUAGGUUAAAUCCCGGUCUGGCACAGUGGGUCAAGGAUCUGGCAUUGCCACA
rnacentral:lncRNA from 1 species